rnacentral:rRNA from 1 species
ACUCCUACGGGAGGCAGCAGUAAGGAAUAUUGCGCAAUGGACGAAAGUCUGACGCGGCGACGCCGCGUGGGGGAUGAAGGUCUUCGGAUUGUAAACCCCUUUCGGGAGGGAAGAUGGAGUGGGUAACCACCUGGACGGUACCUCCAGAAGCAGCCACGGCUAACUUCGUGCCAGCAGCCGCGGUAAUACGAAGGUGGCAAGCGUUGUUCGGAUUCACUGGGCGUACAGGGAGCGUAGGCGGUUGGGUAAGCCCUCCGUGAAAUCUCCGGGCCUAACCCGGAAAGUGCAGAGGGGACUGCUCAGCUAGAGGAUGGGAGAGGAGCGCGGAAUUCCCG